rnacentral:rRNA from 1 species
GACGAACGCUGGCGGCGUGCUUAACACAUGCAAGUCGAACGGUGAAGCGCCUUCCUUUUUGGUGGGUGUGGAUGAGUGGCGAACGGGUGAGUAACACGUGAGUAACCUGCCCCCUUCUUCUGGAUAACCGCAUGAAAGUGUGGCUAAUACGGGAUAUUCUGGGUCUGUCGCAUGAUGGGUCUGGGAAAGAUAUUGUUUCGGUGGGGGAUGGGCUCGCGGCCUAUCAGCUUGUUGGUGGGGUGAUGGCCUACCAAGGCGGUGACGGGUAGCCGGCCUGAGAGGGUGGACGGUCUCACUGGGACUGAGACACGGCCCAGACUCCUACGGGAGGCAGCAGUGGGGAAUAUUGCACAAUGGGCGCAAGCCUGAUGCAGCGACGCCGCGUGAGGGAUGGAGGCCUUCGGGUUGUGAACCUCUUUCGCCAGUGAAGCAGGCCUGCCUCGUUUGUGGGUGGGUUGACGGUAGCUGGAUAAGAAGCGCCGGCUAACUACGU